UACGAAGGGGGCUAGCGUUGCUCGGAAUCACUGGGCGUAAAGCGCACGUAGGCGGAUUGCUAAGUCAGGGGUGAAAUCCUGGAGCUCAACUCCAGAACUGCCUUUGAUACUGGCGACCUUGAGUCCGGGAGAGGUGAGUGGAACUGCGAGUGUAGAGGUGAAAUUCGUAGAUAUUCGCAAGAACACCGGUGGCGAAGGCGGCGCUCUGGACCGAGACUGACGCUGAGGCGCGAAAGCGUGGGGAGCAAACAGG
rnacentral:rRNA from 1 species